rnacentral:rRNA from 1 species
AACGAACGCUGGCGGCAGGCCUAACACAUGCAAGUCGAACGCAUCGCAAGAUGAGUGGCGCACGGGUGAGUAACACGUGGGAAUGUAUCCUUUGGUUCGGAAUAACGUCUGGAAACGGACGCUAAUACCGGAUGAGCCCUUAGGGGGAAAGAUUUAUCGCCGAAGGAGCAGCCCGCGUCUGAUUAGGUAGUUGGUGGGGUAAAGGCCUACCAAGCCGACGAUCAGUAGCUGGUCUGAGGGGAUGAUCAGCCACACUGGGACUGAGACACGGCCCAGACUCCUACGGGAGGCAGCAGUGGGGAAUAUUGGACAAUGGGCGCAAGCCUGACCCAGCCAUGCCGCGUGAGUGAUGAAGGCCUUCGGGUUGUAAAGCUCUUUCGCACACGACGAUGAUGACGGUAGUGUGAGAAGAAGCCCCGGCUAACUUCGUGCCAGCCGCCGCCGUAAAAC